GGUGGCUCAGUGGUUAAGAGCUUGGCUGCUAAUCAAAAGGUUGGUGGUUUGAAUCCACCAGCCA
rnacentral:tRNA from 1 species